AGAGUUUGAUCCUGGCUCAGAACGAACGCUGGCGGCAGGCCUAACACAUGCAAGUCGAGCGCUUUAACCACUUCGGUGGAGCGAGAGCGGCGGACGGGUGAGUAACGCGUGGGAAUAUGCCCUUCACUGCGGAAUAGCCUCGGGAAACUGAGAGUAAUACCGCAUACGCCCUUCGGGGGAAAGAUUUAUCGGUGAAGGAUUAGCCCGCGUUGGAUUAGGUAGUUGGUGGGGUAAAAGCCUACCAAGCCGACGAUCCAUAGCUGGUUUGAGAGGAUGAUCAGCCACACUGGGACUGAGACACGGCCCAGACUCCUACGGGAGGCAGCAGUGGGGAAUCUUAGACAAUGGGGGAAACCCUGAUCUAGCCAUGCCGCGUGAGUGACGAAGGCCUUAGGGUCGUAAAGCUCUUUCGCCAGGGAAGAUAAUGACGGUACCUGGUAAAGAAACCCCGGCUAACUCCGUGCCAGCAGCCGCGGUAAUACGGAGGGGGUUAGCGUUGUUCGGAAUUACUGGGCGUAAAGCGCGCGUAGGCGGACUAUUAAGUUAGUGGUGAAAUCCCAGGGCUCAACCCUGGAACUGCCUCUAAUACUGGUAGUCUUGAGUUCGAGAGAGGUGAGUGGAAUUCCGAGUGUAGAGGUGAAAUUCGUAGAUAUUCGGAGGAACACCAGUGGCGAAGGCGGCUCACUGGCUCGAUACUGA
rnacentral:rRNA from 1 species